UUCCCAGACUCCUACGGGAGGCAGCAGUGAGGAAUAUUGGUCAAUGGCCGAGAGGCUGAACCAGCCAAGUCGCGUGAGGGAUGACGGCCCUACGGGUUGUAAACCUCUUUUGCCGGGGAGCAAAGAGCGGGACGCGUCCCGCCUCGAGAGUACCCGGAGAAAAAGCAUCGGCUAACUCCGUGCCAGCAGCCGCGGUAAUACGGAGGAUGCGAGCGUUAUCCGGAUUUAUUGGGUUUAAAGGGUGCGUAGGCGGACGCUUAAGUCAGCGGUAAAAUUGCGGGGCUCAACCUCGGCGAGCCGUUGAAACUGGGUGCCUUGAGUGGGCGAGAAGUACGCGGAAUGCGUGGUGUAGCGGUGAAAUGCUUAGAUAUCGCGCAGAACCCCGAUUGCGAAGGCAGCGUACCGGCUCCACACUGACGCUGAGGCACGAAAGCGUGGGUAUCGAACAGGAUUAGAUACCCCAGUACG
rnacentral:rRNA from 1 species